rnacentral:lncRNA from 1 species
AUGUCAGUGACACUUCAGGUCUCAGUAAGCCUGGCAGAUGGACGUGUGUGUACCCCCCUUCCUCAAUUACACACAAUAGCCCAUAACAGCUUUGUGAUUACGUUCCUUAGAGACUUUGUGAAACAAAACAGGCCACUAUCGGACUGCAUUUCAAAUACAAAGGAUGCUCGUGUAGGACACAGCAGCACACGCUCACUCUUGUUGCUUCUCACAGGAGGAGAAGCUCUGCCAUGCCUUGAAGAUCACUGCCCGUGUCCUUGGUACAGGCCUGAUCGUGUUCACUGCCUUAGCAAACUCUGUUUCUUGGUACGCGGAGGGUAUCUGGGACACCUUAGGCCAUUUCUGGCAAACAAAAUGGCUAGAGUUGUACUAUCUGUUUGAGGGAGACGAAUGGACAAUCUUCCUCCUUGGUAAGUGUUAACAACUCUCUGAACAGGCCUGGUAUGGACCUUGCAAGGUCCCAGGGAUCACCUCAACCUUAUCCUACUUGUAUUUUAAAACCACCCAUGACAGAGAGACCCCCCAAGCCUCCCAGAAAAGCCCAUUCUUAGCCUCAGUUGGUGGCACAUCGGACUG